GGGCCCGCCCCCGGCUCCAUCUUGCGGGAGACCGGGUUGGGCUGUGACGCUGCUGCCCGGGUCAGCCUGCAGGUCAGGAGUCAUCUUUUCCCCCUUCUGGUCAGUAUCCUUAUCCUAGUGGCUUUCCUCCAAUGGGAGGAGGUGCCUACCCACAAGUGCCAAGUAGUGGCUACCCAGGAGCUGGAGGCUACCCUGCGCCUGGAGGUUAUCCAGCCCCUGGAGGCUAUCCUGGUGCCCCACAGCCAGGGGGAGCUCCAUCCUAUCCCGGAGUUCCUCCAGGCCAAGGAUUUGGAGUCCCACCAGGUGGAGCAGGCUUUUCUGGGUAUCCACAGCCACCUUCACAGUCUUAUGGAGGUGGUCCAGCACAGGUUCCACUACCUGGUGGCUUUCCUGGAGGACAGAUGCCUUCUCAGUAUCCUGGAGGACAACCUACUUACCCUAGUCAGCCUGCCACAGUGACUCAGGGCACUCAAGGAACUAUCCGACCAGCUGCCAACUUCGAUGCUAUAAGAGAUGCAGAAAUUCUUCGUAAGGCAAUGAAGGGUUUUGGGACAGAUGAGCAGGCAAUUGUGGAUGUGGUGGCCAACCGUUCCAAUGAUCAGAGGCAAAAAAUUAAAGCAGCAUUUAAGACCUCCUAUGGCAAGGAUUUAAUCAAAGAUCUCAAAUCAGAGUUAAGUGGAAAUAUGGAAGAACUGAUCCUGGCCCUCUUCAUGCCUCCUACAUAUUACGAUGCCUGGAGCUUACGGAAAGCAAUGCAGGGAGCAGGAACUCAGGAACGUGUAUUGAUUGAGAUUUUGUGCACAAGAACAAAUCAGGAAAUCCAAGAAAUUGUCAGAUGUUAUC
rnacentral:sRNA from 1 species